GACGAACGCUGGCGGCGUGCUUAACACAUGCAAGUCGAACGAUGAACCUCGAAAUGAUUUCUUCGGAAGGAUUUUUGAGAGGAUUAGUGGCGAACGGGUGAGUAACGCGUGAGCAACCUGCCUUAGACAAGGGGAUAGCCUCGGGAAACCGUGAUUAAUACCCUAUGAGACUCCACUUACGAGUGUAAGAGAAGUUAAAGCAUUAGCGGUCUAAGAUGGGCUCGCGUCUGAUUAGCUAGUUGGUGAGAUAAAAGCCCACCAAGGCGACGAUCAGUAACCGGCUUGAGAGAGUGAACGGUCACAUUGGAACUGAGACACGGUCCAAACUCCUACGGGAGGCAGCAGUGGGGAAUAUUGCACAAUGGGGGAAACCCUGAUGCAGCGACGCCGCGUGAGCGAUGAAGGAAUUCGUUUCGUAAAGCUCUGUCCUUGGAGAAGAUAAUGACGGUAACCAAGGAGGAAGCACCGGCUAAAUACGUGCCAGCAGCCGCGGUAAUACGUAUGGUGCGAGCGUUGUCCGGAAUUAUUGGGCGUAAAGGGUACGUAGGCGGUUUAACAAGUCAGAUGUUAAAACUUGAGGCUUAACCUCAUGUUGCAUUUGAAACUGUAAAACUUGAGUAGUGGAGAGGAAAGUGGAAUUCCUAGUGUAGCGGUGAAAUGCGUAGAUAUUAGGAGGAAUACCAGUAGCGAAGGCGACUUUCUGGACACAAACUGACGCUGAGGUACGAAAGCGUGGGGAGCAAACAGG
rnacentral:rRNA from 1 species